AGGACGAACGCUGGCGGCGUGCUUAACACAUGCAAGUCGAACGAUGAAGCGGUGCUUGCACCGUGGAUUAGUGGCGAACGGGUGAGUAAUACGUGAGUGACCUACCUUUGACUCUGGGAUAAGCCUGGGAAACUGGGUCUAAUACCGGAUACGACCAAUCUCUGCAUGGGGUGUUGGUGGAAAGCGUUAUGGAGUGGUUUUAGAUGGGCUCACGGCCUAUCAGCUUGUUGGUGAGGUAAUGGCUUACCAAGGCGACGACGGGUAGCCGGCCUGAGAGGGUGACCGGCCACACUGGGACUGAGACACGGCCCAGACUCCUACGGGAGGCAGCAGUGGGGAAUAUUGCACAAUGGGCGCAAGCCUGAUGCAGCGACGCCGCGUGAGGGAUGACGGCCUUCGGGUUGUAAACCUCUGUUAGCAUCGAAGAAGCGAAAGUGACGGUAGGUGCAGAGAAAGCGCCGGCUAACUACGUGCCAGCAGCCGCGGUAAUACGUAGGGCGCGAGCGUUGUCCGGAAUUAUUGGGCGUAAAGAGCUUGUAGGCGGUUGGUCGCGUCUGCUGUGAAAGGCCGGGGCUUAACUCCGGUUUUGCAGUGGGUACGGGCUAACUAGAGUGCAGUAGGGGAGACUGGAAUUCCUGGUGUAGCGGUGGAAUGCACAGAUAUCAGGAGGAACACCGAUGGCGAAGGCAGGUCUCUGGGCUGUAACUGACGGCUGAGAAGCGAAAGCAUGGGGAGCGAACAGGAUUAGAUACCCUGGUAGUCCAUGCCGUAAACGUUGGGCACUAGGUGUGGAGGACAUUCCACGUUUUCCGCGCCGUAGCUAACGCAUUAAGUGCCCCGCCUGGGGAGUACGGCCGCAAGGCUAAAACUCAAAGGAAUUGACGGGGGCCCGCACAAGCGGCGGAGCAUGCGGAUUAAUUCGAUGCAACGCGAAGAACCUUACCAAGGCUUGACAUGCAUUAGAUCGCGUCAGAGAUGGCGUUUCCCUUCGGGGCUGGUGUACAGGUGGUGCAUGGUUGUCGUCAGCUCGUGUCGUGAGAUGUUGGGUUAAGUCCCGCAACGAGCGCAACCCUCGUUCUAUGUUGCCAGCGGUUCGGCCGGGGACUCAUAGGAGACUGCCGGGGUUAACUCGGAGGAAGGUGGGGAUGACGUCAAAUCAUCAUGCCCCUUAUGUCUUGGGCUUCACGCAUGCUACAAUGGCCGGUACAGAGGGUUGCGAUACUGUGAGGUGGAGCUAAUCCCUUAAAGCCGGUCUCAGUUCGGAUUGGGGUCUGCAACUCGACCCCAUGAAGUCGGAGUCGCUAGUAAUCGCAGAUCAGCAACGCUGCGGUGAAUACGUUCCCGGGCCUUGUACACACCGCCCGUCAAGUCACGAAAGUUGGUAACACCCGAAGCCGGUGGCCUAACCCUUGUGGGGGGGAGCCGUCGAAGGUGGGAUUGGCGAUUGGGAC
rnacentral:rRNA from 1 species